rnacentral:rRNA from 1 species
UACGAAGGGGGCUAGCGUUGCUCGGAAUCACUGGGCGUAAAGCGCACGUAGGCGGCUUCUUAAGUCAGGGGUGAAAUCCUGGAGCUCAACUCCAGAACUGCCCUCGAUACUGGCGAUCUUGAGUCCGGAAGAGGUGAGUGGAACUCCUAGUGUAGAGGUGGAAUUCGUAGAUAUUAGGAAGAACACCAGUGGCGAAGGCGGCUCACUGGUCCGGUACUGACG